rnacentral:rRNA from 1 species
AGCGUAGGCGGUUAGGUAAGCCCUCCGGGAAAUCUCUCGGCUUAACCGGGAAAGGUCGGAGGGGACUGCCUGGCUAGAGGACGGGAGAGGAGCGCGGAAUUCCCGGUGUAGCGGUGAAAUGCGUAGAGAUCGGGAGGAAGGCCGGUGGCGAAGGCGGCGCUCUGGGACGUUCCUGACGCUGAGGCUCGAAAGCGUGGGGAGCAAACAGGAUUAGAUACCCUGGUAGUCCACGCCCUAAACGAUGGACACUAAGUGUCGGCGGGUUACCGCCGGUGCCGCAGCUAACGCAGUAAGUGUCCCGCCUGGGGAGUACGGCCGCAAGGUUGAA